UUUGAUUACUUGUUGGCAUAUAUUAUAAAUUUGCAACACUUUUAAACAUUGAUAAUGUGCUUAUAUUUGUAAUAUAACCAACAAUUAUUGAUAAUAAUGUGGAUUUUAAGCAAAAUAGGAACUUUUGCAAAUACCAAAAUGGGAAGAGUUGACAUCAACCAAUAGAUGAAUUGAAAUAGACUUUCAGGUGAUAUACUUUAGUACAUAAUGCUAUUGUGAAAAACUGUCUACUUUUCUUCGACAAUUAUUGUUAACAUGUAUUUACAAAACAGUAAAUUUUUAAGUGUGGAAUUAAAACUGCUUGCCUUGACUAAUUUCAAUAAAGUAUCAAUUUUCAAAGUACCUCCUGUUCCUAGUCAGGAGCCUGUAAGUCAGUGAUUGUAGUUUGUUGCUGCAUAUAAUAUUUGUUUUUCGUUCAUUAUUUUGUACAUAAAUCAGGCCGAUAGUUUUAUUGUUUAAAUUGUUUUACAUUUGUCAUUUCGGGGCCUUUAAUACAUGUAGCUGACUAUGCAAUAUUGGUUUUAUUCAUUGUUGAAGGCUGUACGGUGACCUAUAGUUGUUAAAAUAGCAAACUUUUAAAACAAAAAUCAUAUGAUAAAAAAAGUCGUAAUUAUUGAUUAGGGACGUUUUUUGUUAUAUCUGAAUAAUUUUUACAUGAAUAAGGAAUGUAUCGGAGGAAAUCGUGUAUUGCAUAUUUUAUAGAAAUAAGAAGGUGUGGUAUGAGUGCCAAUGAAACAACUCUCCAUCCAAGUCACAAUAUGUAAAAAGUUAACACUUAUAGGUCAAACCUAUCGACAAGUAGUAUGUAUUCCUAUAGGCACUAACUGUGCCCCUUUAAUAGCAAAUUUAUUCCUGUAUUGCUAUGAAUCUCAGUUUAUGACCAAACUCAGUUAAGACACGCCAUUGUUACAUUUUGUUGAUACAUUCAACAAUACCUUCCGUUAUCUGGAUGAUAUUUUUUCUUUAAAUAAUCCAGAGUUCUCUAAAUAUACUACUGAAAUUUACCCAAAAGAACUUACUUUAACUAAAUCUAACAUAAACAGCAGUAGUUGUCCUUUUCUAGAUUUAGACAUUUCAAUUUCUAAAGGGAAACUCUAUACUAAAAUUUACGACAAAAGAGACGACUUUUCAUUCCCUAUUGUUAAUUUUCCUUUUUUAGACGGCGAUGUUCCUUUGGCUCCAUCAUACGGUGUUUAUAUAUCACAACUCGUUCGUUAUGCCCGUGUGUGUAGUGAUGUCAUAGAUUUUAACGAACGUAAUCAAUGCACCACUGGUAAAUUAUUAGGUCAGUGAUUUCGUUACCAUGAAUUACGUAAAACUUUUACUAAAUUCUUUCAUAGAUACAAAGAUUUGAUUAGUAAAUUUGGCUGUACCUGUAGAAAACUGAUUAAAACGGUAUUUCACAUCCUAAAUUUUACGGUAAUAUUGUACUUAAAGCGCGGAAAUCACAAUGUGAUCCGUGUAAACUCAAUGAACCUUUAUUAUUAGUAAAGGUUAUCUUACCAAUGUUAUAAUUAGAUCUUUGAAUAUAGUUUACAUUGGCACUAAUAUCGAUUUUGUCAUCAGCAAAUUAAAACAUAACUAAAUUUGUAUUCUUUUCAAAAGGAACGUAUGACACACCCACGUUCAUUUUGAUCUAUAAAGAGGUUAACUCCUAACUAUCCUACUGCCUGUCGAUACAUUUAUUUUUGGCAUUGCACAAGUCAUGUCUUCUUUGACUGUCCAUGAAGUUAAAAUACUAAAUCCCUGGGAUGUGUUUUAAGUUGAUUUAAGUCUCUGAUGCAUGAUAUUUUUAUUAUCAAUUGUUUUUGGCUUAUAACUAGCUGUCAGUAACUGCGAGUACUCUCAAAUCGUACUUCCUUUUUUUUUUUACCUGUUGAUACUAAUUGGAAUGCUUUUUUGUAUUUGAUAUUUACUUAUUCAGGGUUAUAUCUGGUCUAUAUACCAGCUUUGAUAAGUGUUUGGUAUUACUAUAAAUUUUCACUUCUUCGUAUUAUGAACAUCAAAAUUAUUUAUUUUGUAAAAAUAUUUCCUUUAUCCAUUUGAACUGUACACGUAUACCUAACAACAAGAUUAUUUUCCAAUACCUGUGUUUAAAGUAAUUGCAAAUGGCUGAUAUUUUUGUUCAAGCUUAUUGUUUUUCUUAAAUUGCUUAACAUUUCACAGCGGUAUAACAUGUUACUUUAAUUAUUCUUCCCUUAAUUUAUUUAUUUUGUAUUUACAUUGUAUCAUAUAGAUCAAAUUUAUUUGUUCAGUGUAUGUUCACUGGUGAUAAUAUGUCUUUUGAUUGAGUUAAGCCAUUUCAAUUGAUAUUUUAUAGUGUGUCUUUCUAUGUUGUGAUGUUACACUAUUGUUUCAGAUAAGGGUGAAGGUUUGGUACCAUUAAAACGUUUAAACCCGCUGCAAUUGUUUGCACCUGUCGUAAGUCAGGAAUCUGAUGUUCAGUAGUUGUCGUUUGUUGAUGUGGUUCAUAAGUGUUUCUCGUUUUUUAUAUAGAUUAGACCGUUGGUUUUCUCGUUUGAAUGAUUUUACACUAGUAAUUUUUGGAGCCCUCUAUAGCUUGCGGUUUGGUGUGAACCAAGGCUCCGUCUUGAAGACCGUACUUUGACCUAUAAUGGUUUCCUUUUAUAAAUUUUGACUUGGAUGGAGAGUUGUCUCAUUGGCACUCUUACCACAUCUUCUUAUAUCUAUAUACAAAGAACGGCCGUUAGUUUAUAUUCAAUGCUGUUUUGAAUUCGUCUGAUCACUUUUUAUUUCGUCGGAUAUAUUGUUCGAAGAGAAAACUGAACAAACUACCUAACUGCUUAUGUCAUUAGCAUUAUGAAAAAGAUUCAAAUGAAUAUUCUACAAUAUACAUGCAUAUAUACCUGAAACUGAUUCAUUUAUACAUGAAUAUAUACUUGAAACUGAUUCAAUUUGCAUUAUAACAUGUACACAAAUAAAAAAUAACUGAUGAGUUACUCAUACGUCAGAUAGUUCCCAACGUUUUGACAAUUUAUUGAAAAAAACUAUGUUUCAAUCUUGAAACAAAAGUUAUUUCCAUGUAGGUAGUUCAUAAGGGACAAGAACAAUUUCAUUGUACAGGUAAAGUUUGAUUCAGGAUGUUAUUUAAACACUUGAUUAAUCAUUAGAUAUAAUCAUUGCAUCACUUUAGGUAACUAAUUAAAGUGGCCACCAGCCCCUGGUUUAUGACCGUAAUAUAUAGCCAACAUCCCAUGUUUUAUGACCCACAAUAAACGGUCACCAUUUGAUUGUAACUAUACCAGAUGGUUGACAUUUAUCAGAGUUUGUCACGGAUUUUACUGUUCUACAUUUAAGGUUACACGAUACCGAAUGACGUUACGCCACGAGUUAUCGUUCCUGCUGUUGUCGACAUCCAUGAAAUUGACGGCAAACGUAAAAUCUGAUAUUUUAUAAUAACUUAGAACGAAUUAAAUAAACAAUUUGCCUCAGUCCGGUAUAAAAUAGUUGAAAGAUAAAUGUUUCUUUAUUUCAAAUUUGCAGAUAUAUAUGAUUAUAUAUUAAAAAUACCUUCAUUUAAGCGUCGCUUUCUAUACGUAUCACAUUCAAUCACAAAACAAAAACUUUACAUAGAUGCGAUUCAAAUGAAAGAACAAAAAUGAGAAAACAAAACAAAUCACACUUAUGUGAAAUUUAAAUAAAAAACAAAUACUUAUAAAUAAUCUUUGUAUUACAUGAUCGUGCAAAUAGUUCGCCAUAUUUUAAAACUGUCACAAUUCAUAAUAUCCUAAAUACGGACAUUUUAUAUCAUUUAUAACCAUAUCAGACUUAGGAAAUAAAACUGCAAAUUUUAUGGGAUAUGUAUGCUUUAAAUUGUGACGUACAAUGCUUAUCCCGUUAGACGUUUCAGUUUUGCCUGCAUUUGAACAUAGCGGAGAAGCGGCGCAUGCAUUCUAAAAAGGGCAAGUUCACUUGGAAAAAAAGAAAAGUAGAUGAUGACAUUUCAGUAAAAACAAGUAUUUUGGAAAAGCAAACUGUUUUAGACUUUAUUUUGUGGAAUGAGGGCAGAAGAAUUGUAGAGCUUGGGUAUUUAGCGGAUCAGUUUUCUUGUUGUGAAAAAUGUAAAAAGUCACCACUCAGCCUGUUGGACUGUCUUGCAGAAGUUCGAUACGGAUUCGGUAGCGUAUUGAAGAUAAAAUGUCAGCAGUGUAAAUCCGUCAAUUGUGUUUACACGAGAAAACAAUACAGAGAUGAAAAUAAAGAAAACAAAGGGUUUGGAAUAUGGGAUAUUAAUACCAAAAGUCACAGUCAUGCAUGUAAAUACUUUUUUUCAUACAUAUUUCCUUGAUUUCGUCCGUGCAUGAACUCGGUGAAGUAAUAAUAGAUCAUACCCUGUAUAUAGCGAUUAGAAAACCGCGGAGAAACAUGUAUCCGCGGUGAUAAAUGUCUAUUUUUCAUCAUUCACCGAAAUGAAACCGCGCGGAUAUAUUUUUUUUAUCCGCAGCUUUCUUACCAAUGUUAUAAAAAUGUUGCCGCGGUGACACGUUGUUCCAUUGGUUUUCAAAUCGCUAUAAAUGCAGGGUGUGUAAAUUGAUACAACUAAUUAAAAAAUACGCCUCAUAUAGAAAGCAUGUACUUCAACAUACCUCGAUAAUUGGUCCUCACGAAAAUUAAUUUACUUCUCCAUUUUAUAAUGAUAUGAAUCCAUUGUAGUGUGAUAAAUGAUGUUUUAAAUCAUAUCAAAACUUUAUUUUUUUUCAAUUCAAAAUUAAUCUUUUUUUAAAGAAAAUUAUUGUUUGUUGACAUUUUUUCAUCCGCACUAAGCGGACCUAAAAACCGGUCUAAACCAAACGACGUGAACUUAGCGUACCGGGUGGUGAAUACCAAUAAUUGUAAUUACGGGCAGUUCUAUUAUAUUUGCAAUAUAUUCAAUAACACUUAUUAUUUGUUUCUUCUCAACCAUGAACGUCCCUUCAAUAACUGUAAAAACUCUCAAAAAACGAGAGAGAGAAAUCGGAUUGACCAUAGAGGCUGCUGACACAUGUAAACAAGGAAUCGAUGAGAAAAUACAAAUAACAAGAAUGUCAACAAAAAAGAUAAACCUUCCUUCAGAUAUAGAGCACUGUACAAGUACAUGUACCAUGGAAAACUCCACUGACAAUGAUGUGGACAUUGAAAGUUUACUUUCUGUCUCGUUUGAUGGCGCUUUGCAGAAAAAGGGGAGUGGAAAAUGUUAUAAUAGUUAAACUGGGCAUGCUACGAUGAUUGGAUAAACAACUGGUAAAUGUUUAGACUUUGGGGUUUAAUCAACAGAUUGUAGAAAGUGCCUUUUUACAGAUAAACAAUCAGACCAUGACUGUCGGAUAAAACUAUGCAGGAAGUGCACGAUCUAUGGAAUCGGCAAUAGCAGCAAAUUUAGUUUCUAAUUUAAUGGAAAUGGGUUACAGAGUGAAAUCAAUAACCGUGGAUGAGGAUUAAACUACUAUAUCACGACUUCAUAAGUCAGUUAUUCCAAAUAUAUUCAGUCUGACAAAAAUCACAUCAAGAAAAACGUUUCAAACUCGCUUUAUGAAAUAAAAAAGGAUACAAGGAGUUAAGCACGAGUGUAAUCAGUUACGUUGUCAGGUUUGCAUUCCAGGAGAUCAGCUGCGAGAUGACUUACUGAAGCUGUUCCAACGAUUUGCAGAUUUGUCAGAUAGGCUGAUACACAUUGGUACAUCUCAAGCAAAUUAGUCGCUGAAUCAUAUAAUUGUAACAAAAGCACCUAAAGCCAAGCAUUUAGGCGGAUCAGAGUCCCUGAAUUACAGAGAAGCUGUCGGUGUUGCACAACUGAAUGGUGGAUGAAAUGUGUAGUUGACGUAACGAAAAUCAUGGACUUUUACCUUGAAAAGUAACUGUUACAAAAAGCAUAAAACUAGACGAGAAAGCUAAAAGAGAUGGAGAAAAGAAGAAGUUACCGGCUGUUAAAAGGAAGAAAAAAAGUAAAAAGUCCGAUAGUUUUCUUAAUACUUUUACCAAGGAGACUAACGAAGGCACAACUUACCAAUCCUAGAUUACCAUGGGACGAGAUGGAGAUCAUAAAGACAUCGAAACAAUCCCAGAUCCAAGUGAUUUAGAACAAUUACCAACAAGAGUAGACAUUGAUAGUAACGAAGAACUUUGUGUUGUCGUUUUCGACAUUGAAACCACCGGAUUUGGAUAUGGUUCCGAGAUAGUUCAAUUGUCAGCAGUUUGUAACAAAAUAGAGUUUGAUCAGUACAUUAUUCCGACAAAACUUAUUCAUCCAAAAGCUACCGAAGUCAUCCAUCUUUUUAGUACAGGGACGCGUCUUUAUUAUAAAGGUCAUCAAUUUGUAACAGAACCGAAGGAGAAUGUUUAAAUAGUUGUGUUGAAUGGCUUCAGAAAAACUCAUUACUGGUUGCACAAUAUUGUAAACAAUUCGAUGCAAAAAUACUUGUUUCCCAGAUGCAGCCUUUAAAUUCAAGUAUUUUACAAAAUCUCAAAGAUCAUAUACAGGGAGAGCUCACUUGCAAAUGACAUUCUAAAGACAACAUAUAAUGCACACAAUGCCCUUGAUGAUGUUAAACUGUUAAAGGAGAUGAUUGAGGUUGAAAUUGAAAAUGAACAACUUCUUGAGAAUAGUUUCGUUUAACAUGAUAUAUAACGACAAUUGAAGAUGUUUCAUGCAAAGAAGCAUUUAAUUGUCUCCUAUAAUGGAGUUAUCAGAGAAAAGAUUAUGUCAAAAGCACUAUGUGAUAGAGCAGCCGGAAGUGGACUUAGCUUCGAAUAUAUCAAGUCUUCUUUUAGCAGAGCUGGACAAGACGGCUUUCGGAGUAUUUUGCUGAGCGGACUUCAAAUAGGAAACCACGGAUUAGUAAUCAGAAGAAAAUUAUAAAUUGUGUUCGCCAGUAUUUAUCGAAUUGACCAUGUCAAUUAAAUUUAAUUUUUAUACAUAA